rnacentral:sRNA from 1 species
AUCAGCGAUGGCGGCUGCGUCGGGGUCGGUUCUGCAGCGCUGUAUCGUGUCGCCGGCAGGGAGGCAUAGCGCCUCUCUGAUCUUCCUGCAUGGCUCAGGUGAUUCUGGACAAGGAUUAAGAAUGUGGAUCAAGCAGGUUUUAAAUCAAGAUUUAACAUUCCAACACAUAAAAAUUAUUUAUCCAACAGCUCCUCCCAGUUACACUGUUGGACCAAGUUUUGCCAGGAGGAUUCUCUAUGGGAGGAUGCAUGGCAAUGCAUUUAGCAUAUAGAAAUCAUCAAGAUGUGGCAGGAGUAUUUGCUCUUUCUAGUUUUCUGAAUAAAGCAUCUGCUGUUUACCAGGCUCUUCAGAAGAGUAAUGGUGUACUUCCUGAAUUAUUUCAGUGUCAUGGUACUGCAGAUGAGUUAGUUCUUCAUUCUUGGGCAGAAGAGACAAACUCAAUGUUAAAAUCUCUAGGAGUGACCACGAAGUUUCAUAGUUUUCCAAAUGUUUACCAUGAGCUAAGCAAAACUGAGUUAGACAUAUUGAAGUUAUGGAUUCUUACAAAGCUGCCAGGAGAAAUGGAAAAACAAAAAUGAAUGAAUCAAGAGUGAUUUGUUAAUGUAAGUGUAAUGUCUUUGUGAAAAGAGAUUUUUACUGCCAAAUUAUAAUGAUAAUUAAAAUAUUAAGAAAUAACACUUUCCUGACUUUUUUAUUAUUAAAAUGCUUAUCACUGUAGACAGUAGCUAAUCUUAUUAAUGAAAAACAAUAGACAAACAUCUGUGCAUAAUUUUUCAGACACAAUUCUGUAAAUAUUUGGAAACCUUUUAAGUAUUUAAACUUUUAAAUUUUUGAAAUAAAGUAUUCUAAACUAAUAUAAAUAAGGACAAUGAAAAAACAUGAAAGGACUUAGCAUAGUGUUAUUUUAUCUUUUCUACAACUUUGUUUAAAUUACCUUUCCAAAGAUAUUUGUGUUUAUGUAAUUUUCCACGGAAUAACAUUAAUACUCUAGGUUUAUAAACCGGUUUCGCAUUAUUUCAUUUGAUCAUCACAAGAGCUUUGUGAAGUAAGCCGAGAAGUUGUUACUGGUAUUUAAUAAUAGCAAUAGAGGAGUUAAAGACUUUCCCACAGCUUGCAGGUCAAGACAAGAAAUUCAGGUCUCCUAAUUCUCAGUGGAGCUCUAUUUCUGUUAACCCAAAUUGCUGCUCUGUUUUAGGUCUCAAUUUCAUCUGUAAAAUGAUAUUAAUAGUACUUAUCCCAUUGGAUUUUUGUUGAGAUUUAAAUAAAUAGCCAAAAGCCAAUACAUAAUAAACACUCAAUAAAGAUUAACCAUAAGGAGAGUCAUGAUCUAGUUCCAGGAAUACAUUGUUAGAUGACUGAAAAAUUGUAUUACUUCAAUGAAAAUACUAUAAAUAAUAACAUUUUCAUAUAUUAGUUGGUUCUCAUGCAUACAUAAUCUAAUUUUAUUUGAUCCUCACAACUUUUUUAUUAAGUAUACAUUAUCCCUAUUUGUAUAAAUAGAAUCAUACAAUACCUGCCUGCUUUCAUUCAACAAAAUUAUCAUGAGAUUUUUCCAUGUUGUGUACAUCAAUAGUUCAUCUAUUUUAUUGCUCAGUAAUAUUCCAUUGUGUGGAUGUAUCACUAUUUGUUUACACAUUCACCACUGAUAUAUAAGUUGCUUCCAGUGUGAGGCUGUUAUAAAUAAAGCUGCUAUGAAUAUUCAUGUAAGA